rnacentral:rRNA from 1 species
UACGUAGGGGGCAAGCGUUGUCCGGAUUUAUUGGGCGUAAAGAGCGUGUAGGCGGCCAGAUAGGUCAGCUGUGAAAACUCGAGGCUCAACCUCGAGACGUCGGUUGAAACCAUCUGGCUAGAGUCCGGAAGAGGAGAGUGGAAUUCCCGGUGUAGCGGUGAAAUGCGCAGAUAUCGGGAGGAACACCAGUGGCGAAGGCGACUACCUGGCCUGUUCUUGACGCUGAGGCGCGAAAGCUAGGGGAGCAAACGGG